AUACGUAGGUGACAAGCGUUAUCCGGAUUUACUGGGUGUAAAGGGCGUGUAGGCGGUUUAGCAAGUCAGAAGUGAAAUUCCCGGGCUUAACUUGGGCGCUGCUUCUGAAACUGCUUUACUUGAGUGCUGGAGAGGAUAGUGGAAUUCCUAGUGUAGCGGUAAAAUGCGCAGAUAUUAGGAGGAACACCGGUGGCGAAGGCGGCUAUCUGGACAGUAACUGACGCUGAGGCGCGAAAGCACGGGGAGCAAACAGGAUUAGAUACCCUGGUAGUCCGUGCCGUAAACGAUGAAUACUAGGUGUAGGGGGUAUCGACCCCCUCUGUGCCGCAGUUAACACAUUAAGUAUUCCACCUGGGGAGUACGGCCGCAAGGUUGAAACUCAAAGGAAUUGGCGGGG
rnacentral:rRNA from 1 species